GGGAACCACUAGCACAGGCAAUGGGAGAGAAGAAAGCUGGGCCCAGGGGAGCCACGGAGAACUGGAUUCGAAUCCUGACUCAGCUCUUGUGAGCUGUGUGAUCUUCUUCCUUCCCCUCUGAGCCUCAUUUUUAGUCAUUUUAAAUCAUCUACAAAAUGAAGACAGUUCAGGUUAGGUUUGCCUACAUGAAACAGAAAACCCACAUAAUAAUAAUGGUUUAAAGAAACUAGAAGUUUAUUAAUCUCUUACAAGAAAGAAGCCUGAAGUGGACAACACAGGGCUGCCCCGGUAGCAGCCUGGGCGUGGAUCCAGGAUCCUUCUAACUUUCUGCUGCUGUCCUCAAGUUCUCCUCAUGGUCCAAAGUGGCUGCUUGAUCUCCAGCUAUCAUGACUACAUUCCAGGACUCAGAACUGGAGGCAGCAUCCUGCAGGCUCGCAGAGUGGAGCAUCCCAGCAUCCUGAGACUGCGGAAGGUCUGCCUGUGAGCCCAAGCUGUGGGUAGGGUUUCCAGAGCACAGAUCAGAUGUGCCUGAUUUCCACCAGACCUGUCACUCCCCGUCCAGUGACCAAGAGCAUGGGCAAUGGGAGAGAAGGAAGCUGGAUCCAGGAGGGAGGGCCUGAGACCCGUUCCAGGCUCACAUCAAAUCAUCCUUGAUUUCAGAGUGCCUACCAAAAAGAAAUUUCCCAGGGAAAGGCUGUGAUUGGCUAGACCUGGGUCAUGUGCCCCACCCUGGAACAAUCUUUGCAACAGCGUGGAAGAAACACCAUGGUGGGUCAGGCCUGGGUUAUGUGCCCAGCCAUGUAGCCAGAAGGGAGGUGAAAGGGGAUGGACAGGCCCACCAGAGCCACAAGGUAAGGCGCAUUUCUCUAAAAAAAGGAAAGCUAGGCAGAUUAAAAAAAACAAAAAACAAAAAACAGACAUUCAUUCUUGCUAUGUAUUUAUUUAUUGAGAUAGAAUCUCUCUCUGUCUCCCAGGCUGGAGUGCAGUGGCGCAGUCUCAGCUCACUGCAACCACUGAUUCCCAGGCUCAAGUGAUUCUCAUGCCUCAGCCUCCUGAGUAGCUGGGACUACAGGCACGCACCACCAUGCUUGGAUAAUUUUUUGUAUUUUUUUUGGUAGAGACAGGGUUUUACCAUGUUGGCUGGGCUAGUCUCGAACUCCUGGCCUCAAGUAAUCAGCCCACUUCAGCC
rnacentral:lncRNA from 1 species